rnacentral:rRNA from 1 species
UGGAAGUGCUGUGAGGCAUUAAGCUAACUCGUACUAAUUACCCGUGAGGCUUAACCAUACAACGCCAAAGUGGUUU